rnacentral:rRNA from 1 species
GACGAACGCUGGCGGCGUGCUUAACACAUGCAAGUCGAACGGAAAGGCCCUGCUUUUGUGGGGUGCUCGAGUGGCGAACGGGUGAGUAACACGUGAGUAACCUGCCCUUGACUUUGGGAUAACUUCAGGAAACUGGGGCUAAUACCGGAUAGGAGCUCCUGCUGCAUGGUGGGGGUUGGAAAGUUUCGGCGGUUGGGGAUGGACUCGCGGCUUAUCAGCUUGUUGGUGGGGUAGUGGCUUACCAAGGCUUUAACGGGUAGCCGGCCUGAGAGGGUGACCGGCCACAUUGGGACUGAGAUACGGCCCAGACUCCUACGGGAGGCAGCAGUGGGGAAUAUUGCACAAUGGGCGGAAGCCUGAUGCAGCAGCGCCGCGUGCGGGAUGACGGCCUUCGGGUUGUAAACCGCUUUCGCCUGUGACGAAGCGUGAGUGACGGUAAUGGGUAAAGAAGCACCGGCUAACUACGUG